GAGGUUGUGGCUCAGAGGUAGAGUGUUUGCCUAGCACAUGCAGGGACCUGGGUUUGAUCCUCAGCACCACA
rnacentral:tRNA from 1 species